rnacentral:rRNA from 1 species
CCUACGGUGGGCAGCAGUGGGGAAUAUUGGACAAUGGGCGAAAGCCUGAUCCAGCCAUGCCGCGUGUGUGAAGAAGGCCUUCGGGUUGUAAAGCACUGUCAGUGGGGAAGAAAGCCUUGGGGCUAAUACCCUCGAGGAAGGACAUCACCCACAGAAGAAGCACCGGCUAACUCCGUGCCAGCAGCCGCGGUAAUACGGAGGGUGCGAGCGUUAAUCGGAAUUACUUGGCGUAAAGCGCGCGUAGGCGGUCUGAUAAGCCGGUUGUGAAAGCCCCGGGCUCAACCUGGGAACGGCAUCCGGAACUGUCAGGCUAGAGUGCAGGAGAGGAAGGUAGAAUUCACGGUGUAGGGGUGAAAGGCGUAGAGAUCGGGAGGAAUACCAGUGGCGAAGGCGGCCUUCUGGACUGACACUGACGCUGAGGUGCGAAAGCGUGGGUAGCAAACAGGAUUAGAUACCCGGUAGUC